UGCUGGAUCAUUAUCCCAUGUGAUUCACAC
rnacentral:rRNA from 1 species